UCCCUGGUGGUCCAGUGGUUAGUACUCUGCACUUGCACUGCAAGGGGUCUGGGUUCGAUCCCUGGUCAGGGAA